rnacentral:hammerhead_ribozyme from 1 species
AUUCAGCUGACGAGUCCCGAAUAGGACGAAACGUGCAUCCUGGAU